GGACGUUUCAGCUUCUGGCAGCUCAGCAUCUCCUUCGGAGAACGAACACUCCACCAUGAAAUUGGCCAAGGCCUGGCCUUUGAUAGCAGUUCGGGGAUGAUAUUCAAUAAAAAAUUGACAUAAUUCCAUUGUCCAUGCUGCUAAUCUCCCCGAAACUUCUGGCUUGCUCAUCACCUUCUUCAACGGUUGGUCCGUGUAGACGACCAGGAGCCAACCUUGAAAAUAUUGCCGAAGCUUU
rnacentral:lncRNA from 1 species